AAGCGCUCCAGCGUGUCUUCUGAGAGAUCCUCCACCCGCAGCAGGGAGAUGGUCUCUGGUCGGGAGUUGCGGUCCACCAGGGCGACACUCUGGAACAUUUACAACACUGUUAGCACUGCAGCCAGUUUCUCAAGAGGAGCUAGGUCAGAGGCAGAUGGAAACUAAAUCCUCACAUGCAAUGAAAUGAGCAGUAAGAUAAGAAGAAGAGUCUUUGGAGCUAACUCUUCCAGACUGGUUUGAAGGGGAACCUUGUUGAAGGACCAGGACUCAGAAUCUACCAGCUGAGUCACAUGACCGAGCAGCUUCAUCUCGUAGUCAAAGUCCAACAUGCGCCAGAAGCCUAGAAGACAGGAACAAUGCUCUCUCUAAACACCCGGCAUGGAUGGUCUCUAAGUGGGUCUUUAGCUCCUCUUCACUGGCCUGGAUCCUCUCCAACAGAUCUUGCAUUGUGUACUGGUAACAGAGGAACACAUACUCACUAACAACUACAAUGAAAUUUAAAAGAAGUGGGACACUUACCAUUAAAACACUCAAAAUGUAACAGUCAACUCUGUCAGCU